UACGUAGGGUGCAGGCGUUAAUCGGAAUUACUGGGCGUAAAGCGUGCGCAGGCGGUCUUUUAAGUCAGAUGUGAAAUCCCCGGGCUUAACCUGGGAACUGCAUUUGUGACUGGCGAGCUAGAGUAUGGCAGAGGGGGGUAGAAUUCCACGUGUAGCAGUGAAAUGCGUAGAGAUGUGGAGGAAUACCGAUGGCGAAGGCAGCCCCCUGGGCCAAUACUGACGCUCAUGCACGAAAGGCGUGGGGAGCAAACAGGAUU
rnacentral:rRNA from 1 species